rnacentral:rRNA from 1 species
GGAGUCUGGGCCGUAUCUCAGUCCCAAUGUGGCCGUUCAACCUCUCAGUCCGGCUACUGAUCGCAGCCUUGGUAGGCCGUUACCCCACCAACCAGCUAAUCAGAUGUGAGCCCAUCUUUCAGCGGAUUGCUCCUUUGGUAUUUAGGAGAUGCCUCCAUAAUACAUUAUGCGGUAUUAGCAGUCGUUUCCAACUGUUGUCCCCCUCUGAAAGGCAGGUUGCUCACACAUUACUCACCCGUCCGCCACUAAGUCAAAUCUCAUCUUCGACGAAUCUCCGAUGAAAAGUGUUUCGUUCGACUUGCAUGUGUUAGGCACGCCGCCAGCGUUCAUC